rnacentral:rRNA from 1 species
AACGCGAACCUUACCUAAGCUUGACAUCCUUUUGACCGAUGCGUAAUCGCAUCUUUCCCUUCGGGGACAGAAGUGACAGGUGGUGCAUGGUUGUCGUCAGCUCGUGUCGUGAGAUGUUGGGUUAAGUCCCGCAACGAGCGCAACCCUUCCUUUAGUUGCCAGCAUUAAGGGGGCACUUUAAGGGACUGCCGGGGAUAACCGGAGGAAGGGGGGGAUGACGUCAAAUCAUCAUGCCCCUUAUGCUAGGGCUACACACGUGCUACAAUGGGUGGUACAAAGGGCAGCCAACUCGUGAGGGGGAGCAAAUCCCAAAAACCAUUCUCAGUUCGGAUGUAGGCUGAAACUCGCCUCAUGAAGUGGAGUUACUAGUAAUCGCAGAUCAGAAUGCUGCGGUGAAUGCGUUCCCGGGUCUUGUACACACCG